GGUACCUUUAAUUCAGUCCCGUGAGGCUGACAAGGACAUUGGAUAGCAGAAGGGAAAAUUGUAUCUUUUAUACCCUUUUGUCUCGCUUCUUGUCAGUUGGGCAAGAAGUUUUUUAUU
rfam:Gracilibacillus halophilus YIM-C55.5 contig_22, whole genome shotgun sequence.